GAUGAACGCUGGCGGCGUGCUUAACACAUGCAAGUCGAGCGAAGCAUUUGCAGUUGAUUUCUUCGGAAUGAUUCUGUUUAUGACUGAGCGGCGACGGGUGAGUACGCGUGGGAACCUGCCUCAUACAGGGGGAUAACAGUUAGAAAUGACUGCUAAUACCGCAUAAGCGCACAGUGCCGCAUGGCGCCGUGUGAAAAACUCCGGUGGUAUGAGAUGGACCCGCGUCUGAUUAGCUGGUUGGUGGGGUAACGGCCCACCAAGGCGACGAUCAGUAGCCGACCCGAGAGGGCGACCGGCCACAUUGGGACUGAGACACGGCCCAG
rnacentral:rRNA from 1 species